rnacentral:misc_RNA from 1 species
AAAAAUGUCAUAGUUUUGUACAACUAAACUCACCCUUAGUUUUCCUUUUGUUUUGGGAAUCAUUUUCUAUCGACCGCUUUUCCUGCUGUCCAAAAAUAACUAAAACUGUGGAAAACAUUUUGCAAUAAACUAUUCUCCCCAAGCUCAAUGGUGGCCAUAGCUAGCUGCAUAUAUGUUGAACUUGAGAGACACAGGAAUGACUCUCCCUCCC